rnacentral:lncRNA from 1 species
CAUUGCCAAAUGUGGUGGAAAUGAAGAUAAGGGAAGAACCCUAUACUCUGCAUAUGGUUCAAACGGGCAGGUAUUCGCUGCGCCAUAUUGCUCCUUAUGCCACAUGAUACUGCAUAUGUUCAGUCUGUCCUUGCUCCUAAUUUAAUGCGCUGAUUUAUUUUUCUUUUUGAUUUUGUGUUGUGAUUAUUUAACAUCGCAGUGGGGCCUGUUCGACAGAACAUUUGGGAGAACAGAUGCACAAGAUGCUGACCCAGAGGGAAGGGUACCUGAUUGGAGCAAAGCUUCUGUGCAGGAGAUGAAGGAUAGGUUCGUUGCUGUUGGGUUGGGUCCUCGCCAGGUGACCACUACUCCCUUCACAGUGAUCACAUUUUUCCAUGAAAGAAUGCAAAAACUGUCAUCUAGUGUGAUGCUUAACAGAUAGGUCUCCUUUUGCAGCUUGCUGUGAUGUCAGCCUUCCUCGGACCUGACCAAGCCGCUACCGAGGAACGACUGAUUGCUGAUCCAGAUUGCCGCCCAUGGGUCGAGAAGUACCAAAGGAGUCGUGAAACAGUAUCCCGGACAGACUAUGAAGUAAGCUACUGAUUUUCGUUUGUGCACGAACUGCCAGUGUAUCAGGAGGGUUCAUCUCUCUCUUGAUUGAUGCUAACUUGUGCCUCUGUGUUCUGUAUGACAGGUUGACCUGAUAACCGCACUCACAAAGCUGGGCUCCCUAGGCCAGAAGAUAAAUUAUGAAGCCUACACGUACCCUAAGCAAAAGAUUGACCUGGGCAAAUUGAAACUGUGAGAGAGAUGCUUGCCGGGUAUCUGCAUUGGCCAGACUCUUCUCAUGAUCUGGUGGUUCCGUCUGCUCAAGAGUGACUCAUUCGGCGGUGGUUCUGGUUCAUGUAUUGGCGGUUCAUCAGC